CGCACAGAAGAGUACACUUAAGGUCGUGCCUUUCACUGUCAGCAAUCUUGGCCUCAAAAAGAAAAGAACCAUCAACAAAUAUAGUUCCUGAUAUGCCUGCUGAAGUGUUUAGGGGGAAGCAAACUGACAUUGGCAGCUUACAUUGAAAUGCCUCAAAAAAGGAAGAUGAAUUGCUGGGAGGAAAGAGGACUAGAGGGACUGAGCUGUGAUCAAGCAAGGAGAGGAAAGGACAGCAGUCUCAGCGCUGCGCAUGCGGUGGGGACGGUGCAGGUCCUUCAACUUUUCCGUGUGUUGGAACAUUUUUAUAAUAAAAGGUUGGAGGCUCGGAGAAAUGAAGUGGACCUUGGAAGUCACCAUCAACACCCAGAAGGAAAAGGCCCUGGGUGUUGUCCACAGAGCCAGAGCUGGCAGGAGCCCUGGAGACCCGCUGAAGCCCUGGGCCGCUUGCCUACGGUGGUGCCGGGGGUUCCCGGCCUCAGCGCGGAUGGAGGCCUGGCUCCUGCGGAUCCCACAGGAAGGCGGGAUUUGGGCGUUUUCCAGACAGCGCUCUCAGAUCAUGGAGACCCCUUGCCAGCCGUCAGGGAGCAUCUCCCCUCUGAGGCGCUGUGCUGCGCCCAGAGCACCCUGAGAAGCGGCAGCACUGGACUUCAGCCCUGACAAUAGGAUGGCGUUGACGAGGGGGAUCAUUUAUUGGGGCUUUUCUCUCUGCUGGGCAGCACGUGAAGCCGGAGCGUUUACAUCCACCCCGUCAUUUAAGGUUUGAACGACCCUGUGAAGCAGCCUGGAGAGCAGAGUCCCCGGAGUCCACAAGCCUGGUGAGGCAGGCACCAGCACUGAUGCCAACAGCACAUCACUGGCCUCAGACACUUACGGCAGUGCUGCCACAGGAAAGACAGCCGCAAGGGAGGCUGUCCGGUGGCCUGCUCACUCUGAGGAUGCAGCCCAGCCUGGGCACUGCAGGAUAGAUGCAAGAGGAGAGAAGAUGCCAAGCUCCCAGGACCUCAAACACACCUCAGGGCCUUUGCACGUGCAGUUCCCUCCAUCAGUUCCCAUGCCUUCCCUGCUCCAUGCCAUCUAGAAAAUGGCUCCACAUCUUUCAAGUGUCAUGUCCAAUGCCCCCUUCCCUGUGAAGCCAGCCCCACCGUCCCGAGCCUCCGCAGUGUCCAUCAUUCUUCCAUUGGAGCCUGCAUUCCCCUGCGUGGUGUUUAGAACCACCUUGCUUCCCCCCACCCCCCACUGCCUGCCCCUUCAGACCCUGAGCCCCUGGGGGGCACAGGCCAGGUCCCAUUUCACGGUGGCAGGAAGAAAUGAACCAACCACAGAGGGGUGAGACCUGCCCAGUUGAGAGCACCACAGUGAGGCCAGCAAAAGCAGGGAGGCUGGCGG
ensembl:lncRNA